rnacentral:rRNA from 1 species
UACGAAGGCCCCGAGCGUUAUCCGGAUUUAUUGGGCGUAAAGCGUUAAAAGGCGGUUUGGUAAAUAUUCGGUCAAAUUCUACGGCUUAACCGUAGAGCUGCCGGGUACACUGCCAGACUUGAGGUCGGAAGAGGCAAGCGGAACUACCGGUGUAGUGGUAAAAUGCGUUAAUAUCGGUAGGAACACCAAAGGCGAAGGCAGCUUGCUGGUACGAACCUGACGCUACAUAACGAAAGCGUGGGGAGCGAAUGGG